rnacentral:rRNA from 1 species
GUGGCAGUCUUCCAGUAUGGGGAGCAAAACAGCUAUGGGUCAAGUCCGAUAUCUUUAGGAGAAGUCUUAUUGUGAGGGCGAGUUAUAUAACACCAUAGGACUGGCCGUCCCAUAUGAAAAGAUUAUAUUAGAAUUGAAUGAAGCUUUGUUUAUAUAUUGAUAAUGACAGUAUAUAUAUCGUGUCUUGACUAAUUGCGUGCCAGCAGUCGCGGUAAUACGUAAGAGACUAGUGUUAUUCAUCUUAAUUAGGUUUAAAGGGUACCCAGACGGUCAAUAUAGCUUAUAAAAUGUUAGUACUUGACUAGAGUUUUAUGUAAGAGGGCAGUACUUGAGGAGGAGAGAUGAAAUUUCGUGAUACCAAAGGGACUCUGUAAAGGCGAAGGCAGCCCUCUAUGUAAAAACUGACGUUGAAGGACGAAGGCACAGAGAACAAACAGGAUUAGAUACCCAAGUAGUCUUUGCAGUAAAUGAUGAAUGCCAUAGGUUAGAUUGGUCAAUUAUAGUCUAGGGUUAGUCUAGCAAACUAAUACCCUAUGCUAUAAUCCUAAUAUCUGGUCUAUAAAUGAAAGUGUAAGCAUUUCACCUCAAGAGUAAUGUGGCAACGCAGGAACUGAAAUCACAAUG